rnacentral:rRNA from 1 species
CACGUAGGGCGCAAGCGUUGUCCGGAAUUAUUGGGCGUAAAGGGUGCGUAGGCGGCGCGGUAAGUCGGGUGUGAAAUUUCGAGGCUUAACUUCGAAACUGCAUUCGAUACUGCCGUGCUUGAGGACUGGAGAGGAGACUGGAAUUUACGGUGUAGCGGUGAAAUGCGUAGAUAUCGUAAGGAAGACCAGUGGCGAAGGCGGGUCUCUGGACAGUUCCUGACGCUGAGGCACGAAGGCCAGGGGAGCAAACGGG